rnacentral:tRNA from 1 species
GUUUAAACAGUUUAUUAGUAAACAUUACAUUUUCAUUGUAAAGAUUGAUGUUAUUCAUCUUUAAGCC